GACGAACGCUGGCGGCGUGCUUAACACAUGCAAGUCGAACGGAAAGGCCCUGCUUUUGUGGGGUGCUCGAGUGGCGAACGGGUGAGUAACACGUGAGUAACCUGCCCUUGACUUUGGGAUAACUUCAGGAAACUGGGGCUAAUACCGGAUAGGAGCUCCUGCUGCAUGGUGGGGGUUGGAAAGUUUCGGCGGUUGGGGAUGGACUCGCGGCUUAUCAGCUUGUUGGUGGGGUAGUGGCUUACCAAGGCUUUGACGGGUAGCCGGCCUGAGAGGGUGACCGGCCACAUUGGGACUGAGAUACGGCCCAGACUCCUACGGGAGGCAGCAGUGGGGAAUAUUGCACAAUGGGCGGAAGCCUGAUGCAGCAACGCCGCGUGCGGGAUGACGGCCUUCGGGUUGUAAACCGCUUUCGCCUGUGACGAAGCGUGAGUGACGGUAAUGGGUAAAGAAGCACCGGCUAACUACGUGCCAGCAGCCGCGGUGAUACGUAGGGUGCGAGCGUUGUCCGGAUUUAUUGGGCGUAAAGGGCUCGUAGGUGGUUGAUCGCGUCGGAAGUGUAAUCUUGGGGCUUAACCCUGAGCGUGCUUUCGAUACGGGUUGACUUGAGGAAGGUAGGGGAGAAUGGAAUUCCUGGUGGAGCGGUGGAAUGCGCAGAUAUCAGGAGGAACACCAGUGGCGAAGGCGGUUCUCUGGGCCUUUCCUGACGCUGAGGAGCGAAAGCGUGGGGAGCGAACAGGCUUAGAUACCCUGGUAGUCCACGCUGUAAACGGUGGGUACUAGGUGUGGGGUCCAUUCCACGGGUUCCGUGCCGUAGCUAACGCUUUAAGUACCCCGCCUGGGGAGUACGGCCGCAAGGCUAAAACUCAAAGGAAUUGACGGGGCCCCGCACAAGCGGCGGAGCAUGCGGAUUAAUUCGAUGCAACGCGUAGAACCUUACCUGGGUUUGACAUGGAUCGGGAGUGCUCAGAGACGGGUGUGCCUCUUUUGGGGUCGGUUCACAGGUGGUGCAUGGCUGUCGUCAGCUCGUGUCGUGAGAUGUUGGGUUAAGUCCCGCAACGAGCGCAACCCUUGUUCACUGUUGCCAGCACGUUAUGGUGGGGACUCAGUGGAGACCGCCGGGGUCAACUCGGAGGAAGGUGGGGAUGACGUCAAGUCAUCAUGCCCCUUAUGUCCAGGGCUUCACGCAUGCUACAAUGGCUGGUACAGGGAGUGGCGAGCCUGUGAGGGUGAGCGAAUCUCGGAAAGCCGGUCUCAGUUCGGAUUGGGGUCUGCAACUCGACCUCAUGAAGUCGGAGUCGCUAGUAAUCGCAGAUCAGCAACGCUGCGGUGAAUACGUUCCCGGGGCU
rnacentral:rRNA from 1 species